UUAAGCCAUGCAUGUCUCAGUAUAAUCAGUCAAAUGGUGAAACUGCGAAUGGCUCAUUAUAGCAGUUAUAGUUUAUUUGAUGGUUGCUGCUACAUGGAUAACUGUGGUAAUUCUAGAGCUAAUACAUGCAUCCAAGCCCGACUUUGCAGAAGGGUUGUGUUUAUUAGAUCCAGAACCAACCCAGGCUCCGCCUGGUCAUGUGGUGAUUCAUGAUAACUUGACAGUGAUCCGGUGAAUAAUUCGGACUGACGCAGUGCUCAGCUUCUGGACGUUGUGUUGGAAAGUUUCAUGAACCUUAUCACUUAGAGGAAGGAGAAGUCGUAACAAG
rnacentral:rRNA from 1 species